rnacentral:RNase_P_RNA from 4 species
GUCAUGAAACAACCGCUGCACUUAGUGUAGAGGAAAGUCCAUGCUCGCACUGGCUGCGACGCCGGUAGUGAUCGUGCCUAGCCAAUUCAUAAGCUAGGGCAGUUAGUGAUAACUGACGGCAAGAGGCUUCCCUAAAUCGUUAACGACAUGGGAUACACUCUUUGAAAGUGCCACAGUGACGGAGUCUACUUGGAAACGAGUAGAGUGGAACGAGGUAAACCCCACGAGCGAGAAACCCAAACAAUGGUAGGGGCAUUUUAUAGUCCGAAAAUGAACGGAGCUAUAAGGACGAUUAUUCGUAGAUAGAUGGUUGUUACUGGAGUACGAGGUUCAUCACCGUUUGCAGUACAAAAGAACAGAACAUGGCUUAUGACU